GCUUUCGAUAGGCGUCGACCGGCGCACGGGUGAGUAACGCGUAUCCAACCUGCCCAUAACUAAGGGAUAAUCCGUAGAAAUGCGGUCUAAUACCUUAUGUGUUCCGACGAGGACAUCUGAAUUGGAAUAAAGAUUUAUCGGUUAUGGAUGGGGAUGCGUCUGAUUAGAUUGUUGGCGGGGCAACGGCCCACCAAGUCUACGAUCAGUAGGGGUUCUGAGAGGAAGGUCCCCCACAUUGGAACUGAGACACGGUCCAAACUCCUACGGGAGGCAGCAGUGAGGAAUAUUGGUCAAUGGGCGGGAGCCUGAACCAGCCAAGUAGCGUGCAGGAUGACGGCCCUAUGGGUUGUAAACUGCUUUUGUAUGGGGAUAAAGUGCUCCACGUGUGGAGUUUUGCAGGUACCAUACGAAUAAGGACCGGCUAAUUCCGUGCCAGCAGCCGCGGUAAUACGGAAGGUCCGGGCGUUAUCCGGAUUUAUUGGGUUUAAAGGGAGCGUAGGCCGUGGAUUAAGUGUGUUGUGAAAUGUAGGCGCUCAACGUCUGACUUGCAGCGCAUACUGGUCCACUUGAGUGCGCGCAACGCGGGCGGAAUUUGUCGUGUAGCGGUGAAAUGCUUAGAUAUGACGAAGAACCCCGAUUGCGAAGGCAGCUCGCGGGAGCGCAACUGACGCUGAAGCUCGAAAGUGCGGGUAUCGAACAGGAUUAGAUACCCUGGUAGUCCGCACGGUAAACGAUGGAUGCCCGCUUUACGGCCUUCAGGCCGUGAGGCCAAGUGAAAACAUUAAGCAUCCCACCUGGGG
rnacentral:rRNA from 1 species